AGCGGCGGAUGGGUGAGUAACACGUGGGGAACCUGCCCCUAAGUCUGGGAUACCAUUUGGAAACAGGUGCUAAUACCGGAUAAUAAAGCAGAUCGCAUGAUCAGCUUUUGAAAGGCGGCGUAAGCUGUCGCUAAGGGAUGGCCCCGCGGUGCAUUAGCUAGUUGGUAAGGUAACGGCUUACCAAGGCGACGAUGCAUAGCCGAGUUGAGAGACUAAUCGGCCACAUUGGGACUGAGACACGGCCCAAACUCCUACGGGAGGCAGCAGUAGGGAAUCUUCCACAAUGGACGCAAGUCUGAUGGAGCAACGCCGCGUGAGUGAAGAAGGUUUUCGGAUCGUAAAGCUCUGUUGUUGGUGAAGAAGGAUAGAGGUAGUAACUGGCCUUUAUUUGACGGUAAUCAACCAGAAAGUCACGGCUAACUACGUGCCAGCAGCCGCGGUAAUACGUAGGUGGCAAGCGUUGUCCGGAUUUAUUGGGCGUAAAGCGAGCGCAGGCGGAAAAAUAAGUCUAAUGUGAAAGCCCUCGGCUUAACCGAGGAACUGCAUCGGAAACUGUUUUUCUUGAGUGCAGAAGGGGAGAGUGGAACUCCAUGUGUAGCGGUGGAAUGCGUAGAUAUAUGGAAGAACACCAGUGGCGAGGGCGGCUCUCUGGUCUGCAACUGACGCUGAGGCUCGAAAGCAUGGGUAGCGAACAGGAUUAGAUACCCUGGUAGUCCAUGCCGUAAACGAUGAGUGCUAAGUGU
rnacentral:rRNA from 1 species